rnacentral:lncRNA from 1 species
AUGCUGGAUUCCGCCCGGUGGUGGUUCCGGUGGUGGAAGUUCCGGCUCCCCGGCAUGCAAAAGGCGUCCAAGUCCACCUCCAACAUGGUCCAGCAGGGCAGCCGCCUCGUCUCCAAGAAGAUCUGGAAGUCCCGAUCCAAGAGCCAGCCUCGGAUAGCUGUCACCGUCACGCCUUUCUGGUCGCCCCACCCACAGAUGAAGAACACGUGGGUGAACUCUGCCGGCGUCCAGGUGACACUAGCGGAUACGACGAUUCUGCAACUGACGGAGAUCGAGCGAAGAGUGCUCCAGAAGGUGGCGUUGGCAAAAUUGCAAGCUUUGAACCUAGGCGUCAGCGUGAAAAUUCCAUCAGAGAUCGUGGCUGCCCCAAGGAAACGGCGACCCUACUUAAUGAAGCGGAAAGCUCUGACGACCGGGAUUUUCGAACCAAGUCGGAACAAAGAUGAGUGGGGAAAAGAUGAAAAGGUGCGAAUUUCUUCAUUUACUUUCUUUUUAUUCUUUUUGCACGCACUGGAAUUCUUAUUAAAUAGAAAAUUCUUAUUUCUUUGGUUCUUAAGAACUCUUGUAUUUUUUUCUGGCGAUGG